UACGAAGGGGCUAGCGUUGCUCGGAAUUACUGGGCGUAAAGCGCACGUAGGCGGCUUCUUAAGUCGGUGGUGAAAUCCUGGAGCUCAACUCCAGAACUGCCCUUCGAUACUGGGAAGCUCGAGGUCCGGGAGAGGUGAGUGGAACUGCGAAGUGUAGAGGUGAAAUUCGUAGAUAUUCGCGAAGAACACCAGUGGCGAAGGCGGACUCACUGGCC
rnacentral:rRNA from 1 species